GAGCUUCGGCAGGUCCCUUUCAGCGUUGAAGAUCCAGAUUACCAGGGGCUUGAGCUGGAAACGAUGUCGCCAUGUGAGAAGCACGGCAAGGCAUCUGAGAGGCUUGUCGCAUUUGAAGGAACAGACACAGGGAGAAGGUUCCUAGCAUGUGCAGAGCCGGAAGGGCAGAAUUGUGGGUUUGUUGAAUGGGUUGAUCACCAGUGGCCCCCAACAAUGCAAAAUGCAUUGUUGAAGCUGUGGGCCAUGGUUGAAGAUAGCAAGAGUGCUAGGGUGAAUGAUAAUCUUGAAAGUUCUUUCCCUAUCCACCAUCUGACAGAAGAGAAGAACAAGCUGGAGGCCAACUAUGACAAGUUAGUCCAAGAUGUGCAUGAACUUAUGAGCUUCCAGGAGGACAGGGUGGAUAACCUUACAUAUCAGCAGCAAUGCAGAAGUGAACUGCUGGUUGAUAUGAAGGCACAGAUGGCAAAGAAAGAUGCAGAGUUUGAGAAGCUUAAGCAGAAUUAUGAAGUGCUACUGAACCUGACAAGAGCACAAGCAACAGUCAUCCAAAACUUGAAGUUGAAGCAUAUUAAAGACAAUCAAUUGUUUAGUGAAGAUAAGAUGAACUUGGAGUUGAAGAAUGCAGAGCUCACAAAGUCUGAGGAGAAGCUCACCCAAGAGAAGCUAGAGUUGAAGCUUCAGAUUGCUGAGCUGAUGAAGGCAGAGGAGAAGCUGAAGGAGAAGAUCAAGGGGAUCCAGGCCAUCUUAGAGAAGUGA
rnacentral:rRNA from 1 species